GAUGAAGAACGCAGCGAAAUGCGAUACUUGGUGUGAAUUGCAGAAUCCCGUGAACCAUCGAGUCUUUGAACGCAAGUUGCGCCCGAAGCCACUAGGCCGAGGGCACGCCUGCCUGGGCGUCACACGCCGUUGCCCCCCCAUCUACUCCUUCGGGAUUGCGGGGGGGCGGAUGAUGGCCUCCCGUGCGCCUAGCCGCGCGGUUGGCAUAAAUACCAAGUCCUCGGCGACGCACGCCACGACAAUCGGUGGUAGCGAAACCUCGGUUGCCCGUCGUGUGCGUUCGUCGCGCAUCGAGGGCUCGAAAAAAUGCUCGGCUCCGGCUGGGCUUUCAACGCGACCCCAGGUCAGGCGGGGUUACCCGCUGAAUUUAAGCAUAUCAAUAAGCGGAGGA
rnacentral:misc_RNA from 1 species